AGAAGCAGAUUUCAACUUUUUUCAAUACUUUCAGCCUUUUUUAAAGAAAACAAAUAAGAACACGUUUUCUUUCAGCCUUUUUCAAGAAAACAGAUCAGAACACGCUUUCUUUUGGCCUUUUUUCAAGAAAACAAAACACACUUUCAACAAACAGAACACGUUGUUUCAUGGAAAAAGAGAAAAAUAGGUGUGACAAAUAGAAAUAAAAUGAAGCUUAAAUAAAACAAAGGUGAGAAUGAGGAGCAAAAUGGAUAUAGGCGGUGGUGGACUUUGGCGAUGCCGGAGAUGGACGUAUUGCAAACCUUAAGCAUCCUAUCAGAUAAUUAGGGAAAAAGUAGCUCACCUUUUUUAUUGAUUGCAUUAGGAGUGAAGAUUAUAGCUUUAUCAGUAAUAAAGAAUGAGAUAACAAAUGAGGCUGAAAAGAAAGGGAUAGGGUGCUGAUGGAAGAAUGCAAUUUUUUUUUUAUUUCAUAUUUUUUUGGGUGUAAUGAAAUGAAAACACCUAUGUAAAUAUGGAUUCAAAAUUGAGUCAACUUUUUUAAAUGAUGAUUUUUUAAAUUUUACAA